rnacentral:lncRNA from 1 species
CGAGGGGCUGGCUCGGACGCCAGGCUGGCAUGGUUGUCAGCCUGCCUAAGCAAGGAACAUGGUGCAGGCAGAGCCGGCCUGGUCUGAGAAAAAGGGCUGCCUCCGACUACCAUUGCGGGCCUCGAAAAGUCUCCCCCAAAGGGCCUCCUGGGGCCGUCUCCGUGGUCGGCUCCCCCUGGAGGAGGAGGCGAUCGGAGACUGUGAGGUGGGCGCUGAAAACGGCUCUUCGGACUUCAUUCCCGAAAACGGCUCUGCGCAGGAAUCGGGUCCCAGAGGCUUGGGAAUGCAGUCUGGUGAGUCGUUGAGGGCUCUCCGGCUGAUGGAUGAAUACCUGAGACCCCAGAGGAGGGUUGCGGGGCCCUUGAGCUCACUGCCUCCCUUCAUCCUGGGCUGUUUAGGGGCUCCUGCUUCUCAGCACGGCAGUUGGAGAGAAGCGGGAACCACGACCAAGGGAAGGACACGGUGGAGAAGGGGUCUCACCCCAGGAACUGGCAUCCCACGGGGGCGCGUGAGGUGGAGAGAGGGUCUCAGAGGCCGUCUGCGGCGAUUGCAAGAUUGAAGUGGUUGUCCACCAGUGCUGUUGAGGGGCACUGUGGAUCCCCCGUGAGAGCAAGACAAAAGCAAGGCCCGCCUGGGAGAAAGAGAAGGUUUGUGCUGGAGUCCAAGUCAAGAUCACGGAUUCUUGCCAGAGGAAUCAAGAGCCUCCAGCAGAGUGCAGACAAACCUGGGCCCUACAAAGAGACCACGACCCACGACCUGGACUGAAGUCAGCCCACUCCAAGAGCCUUGUGCCCCCUGAAGUUCCUGGCAGCCCAAAGAUCCGAGAGGCCGUUCCACCCAGCAACAGCCCCUCCACGAGGACAAUGGACGCGCAGAUGAAAUGAACCUAGAUUACCAGGCGAUAGCCAGACGUGGUUGCCCGCUUCUCAUCCUACAGGAAUCAUGCAGCACCUCUGAGAGAACUGGGAGGACCAGAGUUUCCUUGUUGGCAGAUGUAACCGGAAUUCACUGUUCCAAAAGGAUCACAGCAGUCGAGUCCUUGCACGGUGACGGUAUUGAGAAGGAAACACUCGUACAAAAGUCCCCAUGAGAGUCGUCCUCCGUGAACAGGGAAACGUUGACUGUGGAAGUCUUUGAGCCAGACCCAGGAAACCCUAGGCCCAGGAGAAGCGUGGGAGUCAUGAAAAGACGAGGCCGGUAUGCAGGCCACAUCCCAGCCAGCCUCAGUGCAUCCCACUCCCAUGUGUUUCCCCGAAUGACAGCCGAAAUCGAAAGCUGGCCCGAAUGGCCCGGGACUGUGCUGCAACUGAUCCCCAGCACGUUGGAGUCCUCCCACAUGGGCACCGGGCCAGGGUGCGGACCGCUAGUGCGACCGAGGGAACGCGGCGGUGGAGUCAGAAGUACCUUCCGUCUUCAUCUGGAAGCACCUGUUUAGCAGAAGAAGCUGGGGGACCUCAUGCACGCCUCACCAGAUUGCAUCCUUACCCCAUCUGAGCUAACUGCUGCCCACUCUCUCAGUCCCCGGAAUGAAAUCCCAAGACGAUGGAGGAGUGCCCGCCUCAUGACCUCACGACGUGAAGCGGCUGCUCGGCUAGGAACCGAAUUCGAGGGGGAUUCGAGGAGCCCUGCACACAGGACUGCUAGAAGCUGGACCGGCUUGGCCACAGGAAAAUGAGGCACUGGGAGGUUUCUGUUCUCGGGUGUGGUGUGCUCCUCUUUCUUGUUAGCAGACUUGCUGUUUUGCGGGGGGGGAGGUGCUUAGGGCUCCCCCGAGUCUCAGCCAGUCCCACAGUUCACCCCGGAUUCAGGAACCACGGAAAACAAUAAAGGACACGGAGCCCCGGAACCCAAGAAGAACCUCACAGAGAGGCGGACCAGAAGGUCGGUGGACUCGGGAGUGGGAGGGGGUACAUGAAAAGAAAAAAA